UUAUUAGAUAAAGAACCAAUAUUUUUGGUGACUCAUAAUAACUUUACGGAUCACAUUAUGUGACAUAUCAUUCAAGUUUCUGACCUAUCAGCUUUAGACGGUAGGGUAUUGGCCUACCGUGGCUAUGACGGGUAACGGGGAAUUAGGGUUCGAUUCCGGAGAGGGAGCCUGAGAAACGGCUACCACAUCUAAGGAAGGCAGCAGGCGCGCAAAUUACCCAAUCCUAAUACAGGGAGGUAGUGACAAGAAAUAACAAUACAGAACCUUACGGUUUUGUAAUUGGAAUGAGUUAAGUAUAAACCCCUUAACAAGUAUCAAUUGGAGGGCAAGUCUGGUGCCAGCAGCCGCGGUAAUUCCAGCUCCAAUAGCGUAUAUUAAAGUUGUUGCAGUUAAAAAGCUCGUAGUUAAUCUUCUGUUAAUUUUUAUAUAUAAUAUUUCGGUAUUUAUAUAAUAUUAACAUAAUUCAUAUUACUUUUUAGUAUAUGAAACUUUACUUUGAGAAAAUUAGAGUGCUUAAAGCAGGCUAUUGCCUUGAAUACUCCAGCAUGGAAUAAUAUUAAGGAUUUUUAUUCUUCUUAUUGGUUCUAGAAUAAAAAUGAUGAUUAAUAGGAACAGUUGGGGGCAUUUGUAUUUAACAGUCAGAGGUGAAAUUCUUAGAUUUGUUAAAGACAAACUACUGCGAAAGCAUUUGCCAAGGAUGUUUUCAUUAAUCAAGAACGAAAGUUAGGGGAUCGAAGACGAUCAGAUACCGUCGUAGUCUUAACCAUAAACUAUGCCAACUAGAGAUUGGAGGUUGUUCCUUACUCCUUCA
rnacentral:rRNA from 1 species